UACGUAGGGUGCGAGCGUUGUCCGGAAUUAUUGGGCGUAAAGAGCUCGUAGGCGGUCUGUCGCGUCUGCUGUGAAAUCCCUGGGCUCAACCCGGGAACUGCAUUGGAUACUGCGUUGCUAGAGUACUGGAGAGGAGACUGGAAUUUACGGUGUAGCAGUGAAAUGCGUAGAGAUCGUAAGGAAGACCAGUGGCGAAGGCGAGUCUCUGGACAGUUACUGACGCUGAGGCACGAAGGCCAGGGGAGCAAACGGG
rnacentral:rRNA from 1 species